GCCAAACGGGGGGACUGUGGUAUUCGAUGCACGCGAAGACCUUACCUACUCUUGACAUCCAGAGAACUUUCCAGAGAUGGAUUGGUGCCUUCGGGAACUCUGAGACAGGUGCUGCAUGGCUGUCGUCAGCUCGUGUUGUGAAAUGUUGGGUUAAGUCCCGCAACGAGCGCAACCCUUAUCCUUUGUUGCCAGCGGUUCGGCCGGGAACUCAAAGGAGACUGCCAGUGAUAAACUGGAGGAAGGUGGGGAUGACGUCAAGUCAUCAUGGCCCUUACGAGUAGGGCUACACACGUGCUACAAUGGCGUAUACAAAGAGAAGCGACCUCGCGAGAGCAAGCGGACCUCAUAAAGUACGUCGUAGUCCGGAUUGGAGUCUGCAACUCGACUCCAUGAAGUCGGAAUCGCUAGUAAUCGUAGAUCAGAAUGCUACGGUGAAUACGUUCCCGGGCCUUGUACACACCGCCCGUCACACCAUGGGAGUGGGUUGCAAAAGAAGUAGGUAGCUUAACCUUCGGGAGGGCGCUUACCACUUUGUGAUUCAUGACUGGGGUGAAGUCGUAACAGGGGUAGCCGU
rnacentral:rRNA from 1 species